GCCCAUCCCGCGCUGAAGGAUGCGGCCGCUCGGCGUGCGGGCCGUGCAGAUGGAAACAUUUUACCCGUUGUGUUUUCAAUUAAAUCAGGAAAGUUUUGUUUGUGGCAGCUAGUUAAGGAGAAGUGGGAACUGGUAUCUUCUUUCUUUUAAAAUGUUCCUGCUGUAGAACUCAGCCUUCGGCCUUGGGCGCGGAGCGUUCCUGGGGAUGAACGCCUGGCCUGGGACCUGCGAGCCUUUGGCCACCGGCCGCGAGGCUUUUUGGAGCUACGCCCCAAAUGUUGUCACGGUCAUCAAUCUCUGCUUGCCAGCAGACCGACUGAAGUCUGUGGACAGACUCAUUUCUCUUCCUUGCCAGAGGCCAAGCGCCCAAAUGGGGUCUCUCAACACACCAAACUUCAUUACAAAGCUUUCUGCUUUAUGUCUGAAGAAAACUAAGAUGCAGUACAGGCACCAAAGUAACAGACGACCAACAGCUCCACUCGGAUCACGGAUUUUAACUGAUCCUUCUAAGGUCUUUGAGCAUAACAUGUGGGACCACAUGCAAUGGUCACAAGAAGAGGAGGAGAAUGCCAAGAAAAAAGCAACAGAGAAUUCUCUUGUGAAAGUUCAAUCAGAAGACCAAGAUAAAUAUGAGAGAGAAGCCAGUAAAUAUUGGAAUGAAUUUUACAAGACACAUAAAAAUAACUUUUUCAAGGAUCGCAAUUGGCUGUUUCUGGAGUUUCCAGAAAUUCUUCCAGAAAAACUGAGACAAGAGUUCAAAACAGAAAAAAUAUCUUUGGAACACACAAAAAUAAAUAAUGACAGCAGUUUUUCCCUCAAAAAUGGAAUGUUUGAAGAAGGAGAAAAGUACUGGGAGAAAAAUUAUGGAUCUGGUUCUACUGCUGUACAAGAAUAUGUAUAUAAUAAAAAUCAAGUAAAAGCUCUUAGUGCCAAUCCUCAAGGUAAAAAGUGUGGAGAAGAACUUGGCAAGGUAGAAUCCUUCCCUGGUUGCGAUGCCACAUACCGAAUAUUAGAGGUUGGUUGUGGAGCUGGAAACAGUGUUUUUCCUAUUCUGAAGGUUCUAUGCAAUACACCUGGAACCUUUCUGUACUGUUGUGAUUUUGCUUCAGGAGCAGUGGAGCUGGUAAAGUCACAUUCGUCCUACAAUUCAGCCUGGUGUUCUGCCUUUGUUCAUGAUGUGUGUGAUGAUGCUUUACCCUAUCCUUUUCCAGAUGAGAUCCUGGAUGUCAUUCUCCUUGUCUUUGUGCUCUCUACUAUUCAUCCUGACAGGAUGCAAGGGGUUGUGAAUAGGUUGGCUAAGCUACUGAAGCCUGGAGGAAUGUUGUUAUUUCGAGACUAUGGAAGAUAUGAUACAGCUCAACUUCGUUUCAAAGAAGGUCGUUGCUUGUCAGAAAAUUUUUAUGUAAGAGGAGAUGGAACCAGAGUAUAUUUCUUUACCAAAGUAUAUGUCAACUUCUCUCCACGUUUGGAACAAGGAUGGACAUGAGGGUUUUUUUACAUCAGUUAUGUGCCAGUUCCCCUUCUCUUAAGAAUCAUCCAGGAUUUGGACAAGGGAAAAAUGGUUUUACCUUCUUUCAAGUAGAAUCCUAUAGUGACAGAAGCUACAUUCCUAACCUCCUGGGAAGCAAAUACCAGAGAAUAACAGAAGUGUCUGUAUCCUGAUUGUGUGCAAUCAAGGUAGAACAAUUAAAUUUACUCCAUGUGUUCUGAUGAUGUCCCAUUUAAAUCAAGACAAUAUCUGCAGAUUAUCACUGCAAAGAGCCUCCCAAUAUCAGUUUCUGUUAUACUUGCAUCUGUUCAACAGAACUUAUAAUGAAUUUGUAUAAACUAGAAAUAAAACUUUAAAAAAAUAGCAGAAUAGGCUUCAUCUGGGAUCACAGCCAUUUAGAGAUGGAAUAUGUUUUGUUAUUUUAAAACACUUAUGGUUGCAGAGGAGCACUUAUCCAAGAGGCUGAAAAUUUCGCUUAUUUGAGGUAUAAUGUAUGUCAAGAAUAUUAAAGCUAAUAUCUGUGUUUUGAAGCUUUGUAUACUUAAUGUUAGCUAAAGCUAUCUUGUCAGUUGUUGCUGUGAAAAAGGAGUGAGCAACAAGAUAGUCUCAUUUUCAGAGGAUAUUUUAUUGAUCGGGUUGCUACAAUUUUGAAGGGAACUCAAAAGAUUAAGGAAGCAAGUGAAUUAGCUUAAUAAGGCUAAAACCCACAGAUGACAUAUAGCAUUUGAUAAAUAAUUAAAUUAAGAAUAAUCUAGGCAUUCCUGUGUUUUGAUACUAAAUGAAAUUUUAAAUUAAUUUAAAAAACAGAGGUGGUGUAUACUCCUAGUUAUACAAACAACCAAAAUGUUAAAAUUUUUAAGUAUGAGAUAAAAAUAGAAUGCUCUAUAGCUACUGCAUGAAUCCAAUGUAUAGUCUUCUCUGUAGUGUGUCAUGUUCAGAGAGAAGAAAAAGAUGCAGCAAAAAUAGAUAGUGAAGUUUUUUCAUGUCUCUAGGAAUUUUCAUAUGAAAACAGCUUUGGGAAUUGAAUGAUAGUGUGAGAAUU